GUGGCGGACGGGUGAGUAACACGUGAGAACCUACCCUUAGGAUGGGGACAACAGUUGGAAACGACUGCUAAUACCCGAUGUGCCGGAAGGUGAAAGAUUUAUCGCCUAGGGAAGGGCUCGCGGCUGAUUAGCUAGUUGGUAAGGUAAAGGCUUACCAAGGCGACGAUCAGUAGCUGGUCUGAGAGGAUGAGCAGCCACACUGGGACUGAGACACGGCCCAGACUCCUACGGGAGGCAGCAGUGGGGAAUUUUCCGCAAUGGGCGAAAGCCUGACGGAGCAAUACCGCGUGUGGGAGGAAGGCUCUUGGGUUGUAAACCACUUUUCUCAGGGAAGAAUAGAUGACGGUACCUGAGGAAUAAGCAUCGGCUAACUCCGUGCCAGCAGCCGCGGUAAUACGGAGGAUGCAAGCGUUAUCCGGAAUCAUUGGGCGUAAAGCGUCCGCAGGUGGCCUAUCAAGUCUGCUGUCAAAGCGCAGAGCUCAACUCUGUAAAGGCAGUGGAAACUGAUAAGCUAGAGUUCGGUAGGGGUAGCGGGAAUUCCCAGUGUAGCGGUGAAAUGCGUAGAUAUUGGGAAGAACAUCGGUGGCGAAGGCGCGCUACUGGGCCGAAACUGACACUGAGGGACGAAAGCUAGGGGAGCGAAAGGGAUUAGAUACCCCUGUAGUCCUAGCCGUAAACGAUGGAAACUAGGCGUGGCUUGUAUCGACCCGAGCCGUGCCGAAGCUAACGCGUUAAGUUUCCCGCCUGGGGAGUACGCACGCAAGUGUGAAACUCAAAGGAAUUGACGGGGGCCCGCACAAGCGGUGGAGUAUGUGGUUUAAUUCGAUGCAACGCGAAGAACCUUACCAAGGCUUGACAUGUCGCGAAUCCUGCCGAAAGGUGGGAGUGCCUUAGGGAGCGCGAACACAGGUGGUGCAUGGCUGUCGUCAGCUCGUGUCGUGAGAUGUUGGGUUAAGUCCCGCAACGAGCGCAACCCUCGUUUUUAGUUGCCAGCAUUAAGUUGGGCACUCUAGAGAGACUGCCGGUGACAAACCGGAGGAAGGUGGGGAUGACGUCAAGUCAGCAUGCCCCUUACGUCUUGGGCAACACACGUACUACAAUGGUCGGGACAAAGAGCAGCGACCUCGCGAGAGUAAGCGAAUCUCAUCAAACCCGGCCUCAGUUCAGAUUGCAGGCUGCAACUCGCCUGCAUGAAGGAGGAAUCGCUAGUAAUCGCAGGUCAGCAUACUGCGGUGAAUUCGUUCCCGGGCCUUGUACACACCGCCCGUCACACCAUGGAAGCUGGCCACACCCGAAGUCGUUACCCUAACCUUUCGAGGAGGGGGACGCCGAAUGU
rnacentral:rRNA from 1 species